rnacentral:rRNA from 1 species
CCUACGGGCGGCAGCAGUGGGGAAUAUUGCACAAUGGGGGAAACCCUGAUGCAGCAACGCCGCGUGAGUGAGGAAGUAUUUCGGUAUGUAAAGCUCUAUCAGCAGGGAAUAGAAAAGAAGGUACCUGAAACAGAAGCCCCGGCUAACUACGUGCCAGCAGCCGCGGUAAUACGUAGGGGGCACGCGUUAUCCGGAUUUACUGGGUGUAAAGGGAGCGUAGACGGCAGUGCAAGUCUGGAGUGAAAGGCGGGGGCUCAACCCCCGGACUGCUCUGGAAACUGUACGGCUGGAGUGCAGGAGAGGUAAGUGGAAUGCGUAGUGUAGCGGUGAAAUGCGUAGAUAUUAGGAGGAACAACAGUGGCGAAGGCGGCUUACUGGACUGUAACUGACGUUGAGGCUCGAAAGCGUGGGGAGCAAACAGGAUUAGAUACCCCGGUAGUC